GAUGAACGCUGGCGGCGUGCCUAAUACAUGCAAGUCGAGCGAACGGACGAGAAGCUUGCUCCUCUGACGUUAGCGGCGGACGGGUGAGUAACACGUGGAUAACCUACCUAUAAGACUGGGAUAACUUCGGGAAACCGGAGCUAAUACCGGAUAAUAUUUUGAACCGCAUGGUUCAAAAGUGAAAGACGGUCUUGCUGUCACUUAUAGAUGGAUCCGCGCUGCAUUAGCUAGUUGGUAAGGUAACGGCUUACCAAGGCAACGAUGCAUAGCCGACCUGAGAGGGUGAUCGGCCACACUGGAACUGAGACACGGUCCAGACCCCUACGGGAGGCAGCAGUAGGGAAUCUUCCGCAAUGGGCGAAAGCCUGACGGAGCAACGCCGCGUGAGUGAUGAAGGUCUUCGGAUCGUAAAACUCUGUUAUUAGGGAAGAACAAAUGUGUAAGUAACUGUGCACAUCUUGACGGUACCUAAUCAGAAAGCCACGGCUAACUACGUG
rnacentral:rRNA from 1 species